CUCGGCCAAAUCUGCCCAGUGAAUACAUUCAACGGCCGCAGUAUUUUAACUGUGCUAAGGUAGCAUAAUCAUUUGCUUUUUAAUUGAAAGCUCGUAUGAACGAUUCGACGAAAAGUUGACUCUCUUAAGCCUCCGACUAACUUACUCGGGAGGUAAAAAAGCCCCCCUUCCCCGAUAGGACGACAAGACCCUACAAAACUUUACUCGUCACCCGCGAUUUACUUCUAAACGGUAAUCGAGUUUUGCUGGGGCGGCAAAUUUUAACGAAAACAAACUUUCCCCUAACACCUUGAGUGAUAUCUACUAACCCUUUUAAGGAAUAAAAUAAGUUACUUUAGGGAUAACAGCGCCAUGUUCCUCUAGAGCCCUUAUCGACAGGAACGUUUACGACCUCGAUGUUGAAUUGAAGCGCCUACUCGGGGUAGCCCCCAAUUGAGGGAGUCUGUUCGACU
rnacentral:rRNA from 1 species